rnacentral:rRNA from 1 species
UACGUAGGGUGCAAGCGUUAAUCGGAAUUACUGGGCGUAAAGCGUGCGCAGGCGGUUGUUUAAGACAGAUGUGAAAUCCCCGGGCUCAACCUGGGAACUGCAUUUGUGACUGCACAGCUGGAGUGCGGCAGAGGGGGAUGGAAUUCCGCGUGUAGCAGUGAAAUGCGUAGAUAUGCGGAGGAACACCGAUGGCGAAGGCAAUCCCCUGGGCCUGCACUGACGCUCAUGCACGAAAGCGUGGGGAGCAAACAGG